rnacentral:rRNA from 1 species
AUUGAACGCUGGCGGCAGGCUUAACACAUGCAAGUCGAGCGGGGUGAUGGUGCUUGCACUAUCACUUAGCGGCGGACGGGUGAGUAAUGCUUAGGAAUCUGCCUAUUAGUGGGGGACAACAUCUCGAAAGGGAUGCUAAUACCGCAUACGUCCUACGGGAGAAAGCAGGGGAUCACUUGUGACCUUGCGCUAAUAGAUGAGCCUAAGUCGGAUUAGCUAGUUGGUGGGGUAAAGGCCUACCAAGGCGACGAUCUGUAGCGGGUCUGAGAGGAUGAUCCGCGACACUGGGACUGAGACACGGCCCAGACUCCUACGGGAGGCAGCAGUGGGGAAUAUUGGACAAUGGGGGGAACCCUGAUCCAGCCAUGCCGCGUGUGUGAAGAAGGCCUUAUGGUUGUAAAGCACUUUAAGCGAGGAGGAGGCUCUUUUGGUUAAUACCUGGGAUAAGUGGACGUUACUCGCAGAAUAAGCACCGGCUAACUCUGUGCCAGCCGCCGCGGUAA